rnacentral:rRNA from 1 species
CCUACGGGAGGCAGCAGUGGGGAAUAUUGCACAAUGGGGGAAACCCUGAUGCAGCAACGCCGCGUGAGCGACGAAGGCCUUCGGGUCGUAAAGCUCUGUCUUAGCUGACGAUAAUGACGGUACCGGUGGAAGAAGCCCCGGCUAACUUCGUGCCAGCAGCCGCGGUCAUA